rnacentral:rRNA from 1 species
UUCGGGUACAGUUAGCGGCGGACGGGUGAGUAACACGUAGGCAACCUGCCUGUAGGAAUGGGAUAACUACCGGAAACGGUAGCUAAGACCAUAUAGCUGCUUUUGGCGCAUGCCGGAAGCAAGAAACGCGGAGCAAUCUGUGGCCUAUAGAUGGGCCUGCGGCGCAUUAGCUAGUUGGUGGGGUAACGGCCCACCAAGGCGACGAUGCGUAGCCGACCUGAGAGGGUGACCGGCCACACUGGGACUGAGACACGGCCCAGACUCCUACGGGAGGCAGCAGUAGGGAAUCUUCCGCAAUGGACGCAAGUCUGACGGAGCAACGCCGCGUGAGUGAUGAAGGUUUUCGGAUCGUAAAGCUCUGUUGCCAGGGACGAAAAGCGCCGGGAGUAACUGCCUGGUGUGUGACGGUACCUGAGAAGAAAGCCCCGGCUAACUACGUGCCAGCAGCCGCGGUAAUACGGAGG